UUUUGUAAAUUGCAUAUAUGCUUAAACAGCAUACGUAUCAACUAUGGUUCGUUGAAAAACACAUGAGUAUUUAAAAAUAACAAACAAUGUAGUGAAAAUAUACACUUCUUCUAAAAAACUAAUCUGUUUACAGCUCGUUUCCGAUGAAAUUUGAAACAUUUAAAGGUGUUUAGUCUUCAAGAAUUGAUUUUGUGUAACAUUGGUAAAUAAUUUCGCUUGCUUAUUGACGAUUGUCACCGUUUCUUUGCUGGUUUUUCAACAUUCUUUAAAAUGGCUAAAACAAAAUAGUUAUCGGUAGAAACAAAAGGUAUUAUCAUUGGACUUCAUAAAGCUGGAAACCUGUUGAAAAUUGACUAACCGUCAAAUUUCGACGGAUUUGGGAAUUCCAAGGCGGACUGUCGAUUAUAAUGUUAGGAAAUUCACCAGAGAAGGGACUAUUAGCAACAACCCUCGAUCGGGAAGGCCAAAGGCAACAAGUUCGAAUGAGGAUUUAAAAAUUAGAAGCAAACGCAAUAGACGCCUUACCGCCCCUGAAAUCACAGCAAAAAUCAACAAGCAGCCUAAAAAAGCGGUCAGUGUUUCGACAGUAAAACGGCGACUUUUAUAAUGCUGGUCUUAAAGGACGUUUAGCUGUAUCAAAACAGCUACUGAAGGAUGUUAAUAAGAAGAAAGGACUUGAGUGGGCCCAAUCACACAAAGAAUGGACCAUUGAUGAAGUUCUCUGGAGUGACGAGUCGAAAUUCGAGGUUUUUGGAAUGAAGAGGCGAGUUUUUGUUUGCCGUUAUGCCAAUGAAAGGGUCGCUGAAAACUGUACUGUGGCCUCAGUAAAACACGGUGGUGGUUCGGUGAUGGUGUGGGGUUGUUUCGGAGGAUCUGCAGUGGGCGAUCUAAUUAGAAUAGAGGGAAUUCUUCGAAAAGAGGGUUACAAAACAAUUUUAAGUGACAAUGUACUUGCUUCUGGUACUCGAAUAAUUGGGAAAAACUUCAUCUUUCAACAUGACAAUGAUCCCAAGCACACGUCAAAAUUGUGCAAGCAAUAUUUAGGUCAAUUACAAAGACAACAUCUUCUGAAAGUUAUGGUAUGGCCCCCACAAUCACCGGACCUCAAUCCUAUCGAAUUACUGUGGGAUAAACUGGAUAGACAAGUGCAAAAAUCAUGCCCCACAUCAAAAGAAGA